GAUCAUGGCUCAGGAUGAACGCUAGCUACAGGCUUAACACAUGCAAGUCGAGGGGCAGCAUGAACUUAGCUUGCUAAGUUUGAUGGCGACCGGCGCACGGGUGAGUAACACGUAUCCAACCUGCCGAUGACUCGGGGAUAGCCUUUCGAAAGAAAGAUUAAUACCCGAUGGCAUAGUUCUUCCGCAUGGUAGAACUAUUAAAGAACUUCGGUCAUCGAUGGGGAUGCGUUCCAUUUAGGG
rnacentral:rRNA from 1 species